ensembl:lncRNA
AUUACUACACUCAGGUUACUACACUCAGGUUACUACACUCGGAUUACUACACUCGGAUUACUACACUCAGAUUACUACACUCAGAUUACUACACUCAGGUUACUACACUCAGAUUACUACACUCAGAUUACUACACUCGGGUUAGUACACUCGGAUUACUACACUCGGAUUACUACACUCGGAUUACUACACUCGGAUUACUACACCGGGUUACUACACUCGGGUUACUACACUCGGAUUACUACACUCGGAUUACUACACUCAGGUUAGUACACUCAGAUUACUACACUCAGAUUACUACACUCAGAUUAAUACACUCAGAUUACUACACUCGGGUUACUACACUCAG